rnacentral:rRNA from 1 species
AACGAACGCUGGCGGCAGGCUUAACACAUGCAAGUCGAACGCACCGCAAGGUGAGUGGCAGACGGGUGAGUAACACGUGGGAACGUACCCCUUUGUUCGGAAUAACCCUGGGAAACUAGGGCUAAUACUGGAUACGGCCGGAAGGCGAAAGGUUUACCACAGAGGGAUCGGCCCGCGUCCGAUUAGCUUGUUGGUGAGGUAAUGGCUCACCAAGGCAUCGAUCGGUAGCUGGUCUGAGAGGANGGCCAGCCACAUUGGGACUGAGACACGGCCCAAACUCCUACGGGAGGCAGCAGUGGGGAAUAUUGGACAAUGGGCGCAAGCCUGAUCCAGCCAUGCCGCGUGAGUGAUGACGGCCUUAGGGUUGUAAAGCUCUUUUACCUGGGAAGAUAAUGACGGUACCAGGAGAAUAAG